GAUGAACGCUGGCGGCGUGCCUAAUACAUGCAAGUCGAGCGAACAGACGAGGAGCUUGCUCCUCUGACGUUAGCGGCGGACGGGUGAGUAACACGUGGAUAACCUACCUAUAAGACUGGGAUAACUUCGGGAAACCGGAGCUAAUACCGGAUAAUAUAUUGAACCGCAUGGUUCAAUAGCGAAAGACGGUUUUGCUGUCACUUAUAGAUGGAUCCGCGCCGCAUUAGCUAGUUGGUAAGGUAACGGCUUACCAAGGCAACGAUGCGUAGCCGACCUGAGAGGGUGAUAGGCCACACUGGAACUGAGACACGGUCAAGACUCCUACGGGAGGCAGCAGUAGGGAAUCUUCCGCAAUGGGCGAAAGCCUGACGGAGCAACGCCGCGUGAGUGAUGAAGGUCUUCGGAUCGUAAAACUCUGUUAUUAGGGAAGAACAAAUGUGUAAGUAACUAUGCACGUCUUGACGGUACCUAAUCAGAAAGCCACGGCUAACUACGUG
rnacentral:rRNA from 1 species